rnacentral:tRNA from 1 species
GCGGGGGUACCCGAGCCAGGUCUAAAUAGCGGGUCAAAAAUAUAGAUCCCCUAGGAAAAGGGGGAGGACUUAAGAUCCUCUGGCGCAGGCCUCCACGGGUUCGAAUCCCGUCCCCCGCACCA